rnacentral:rRNA from 1 species
UACGGGGGGGGGCAAGCGUUGUUCGGAAUUACUGGGCGUAAAGGGUGCGUAGGCGGGUCUUUAAGUCAGGGGUGAAAUCCUGGAGCUCAACUCCAGAACUGCCUUUGAUACUGAAGAUCUUGAGUUCGGGAGAGGUGAGUGGAACUGCGAGUGUAGAGGUGAAAUUCGUAGAUAUUCGCAAGAACACCAGUGGCGAAGGCGGCUCACUGGCCCGAUACUGACGCUGAGGCACGAAAGCGUGGGGAGCAAACAGG